rnacentral:lncRNA from 13 species
GGCUUUGCAUUUCCCCACCAGGGCAUUUAUUUAAUAAAUUCCUAUGGCUUUUCCUAGUGGCCUUUGGGGUAAGGAACAAAGCAAACAUUUUGGCUCUUAACACCAUCCUCUGCAGCUAAGUUUCAACAGAAGGAAAAGCAUUCAGAAAUCAAUCAGGGAGCAUUAACAGAAUAUGCCUGCUAAUAGCCUAACAACAAACAGUAAAAACAGUAAAUACUCCUCUCUGUCUAGACCUGUCAUCUGCCCCAGCAGGGUCAGUCACCUGGAGAGACUUGGGGAGGCAGAAAGUAAUAUGUCAGAGAGAGGAAAUCCAGGCCCAGCCUUAUAGAACCAACAGCAACAAGGAUGCCUCCCACUGAAGAUAUCUUUGCAGCAUGGGAUGCUUCUUGUGGGAAGUGCUAGAAUUAAACAGACUGACCCAUGUUUAUUUGGAUGGCAGUGGUCUCAGAGUUCUCAAGAGCAGCAAGAGAAGACAAGUUCCAGUGCUAAAGCAUUUUUCACAUACCUGCUUCUGCCACAUUUACUAUUUUUCCACUAGCCAAUGAGUCACAUGAAGGCAGGAACAAAUUGACGGGCAUAACUGCAACAACCUACCAUAAUUUCAUUAAAAGAAAAUGCUGACCAUGAUCCACUAAACUUAUCUGAUGACCUACAAAUGGAUCACUACCUGUGGACUAAAAGAUACUACUUUAUACUAGACCUUUUGCAAGCUAUUCACUAGGAAUUAUCUUUAUAUUACCAGAAUAUUGCACAAUGUCACAUGCAUAGUAGAUGCUCAGCACUUAUUUUAUGAAUGGACAUAAUAAAUUGGAGGUGCCACUAAAGAAAACUUGCCUU